rnacentral:rRNA from 1 species
AGCGGGUGAAAAGCCCGCUCGCCGGAAGACCAAGGGUUCCUGUCCAACGUUAAUCGGGGCAGGGUGAGUCGACCCCUAAGGCGAGGCCGAAAGGCGUAGUCGAUGGGAAACGGGUUAAUAUUCCCGUACUUGGUGUUACUGCGAAGGGGGGACGGAGAAGGCUAUGUUGGCCGGGCGACGGUUGUCCCGGUUUAAGCGUGUAGGUGUGUGUUCCAGGUAAAUCCGGUUCACUUUAACACUGAGGCGUGAUGACGAGGCACUACGGUGCUGAAGCAACAAAUGCCCUGCUUCCAGGAAAAGCCUCUAAGCAUCAGGUAACAUCAAAUCGUACCCCAAACCGACACAGGUGGUCAGGUAGAGAAUACCAAGGCGCUUGAGAGAACUCGGGUGAAGGAACUAGGCAAAAUGGUGCCGUAACUUCGGGAGAAGGCACGCUGACACGUAGGUGAAGUGAUUUACUCAUGGAGCUGAAGUCAGUCGAAGAUACCAGCUGGCUGCAACUGUUUAUUAAAAACACAGCACUGUGCAAACACGAAAGUGGACGUAUACGGUGUGACGCCUGCCCGGUGCCGGAAGGUUAAUUGAUGGGGUCAGCGCAAGCGAAGCUCCUGAUCGAAGCCCCGGUAAACGGCGGCCGUAACUAUAACGGUCCUAAGGUAGCGAAAUUCCUUGUCGGGUAAGUUCCGACCUGCACGAAUGGCGUAAUGAUGGCCAGGCUGUCUCCACCCGAGACUCAGUGAAAUUGAACUCGCUGUGAAGAUGCAGUGUACCCGCGGCAAGACGGAAAGACCCCGUGAACCUUUACUAUAGCUUGACACUGAACAUUGAGCCUUGAUGUGUAGGAUAGGUGGGAGGCUUUGAAGUGUGGACGCCAGUCUGCAUGGAGCCGGCCUUGAAAUACCACCCUUUAAUGUUUGAUGUUCUAACGUGGACCCGUGAUCCGGGUUGCGGACAGUGUCUGGUGGGUAGUUUGACUGGGGCGGUCUCCUCCUAAAGAGUAACGGAGGAGCACGAAGGUUGGCUAAUCCUGGUCGGACAUCAGGAGGUUAGUGCAAUGGCAUAAGCCAGCUUGACUGCGAGCGUGACGGCGCGAGCAGGUGCGAAAGCAGGUCAUAGUGAUCCGGUGGUUCUGAAUGGAAGGGCCAUCGCUCAACGGAUAAAAGGUACUCCGGGGAUAACAGGCUGAUACCGCCCAAGAGUUCAUAUCGACGGCGGUGUUUGGCACCUCGAUGUCGGCUCAUCACAUCCUGGGGCUGAAGUAGGUCCCAAGGGUAUGGCUGUUCGCCAUUUAAAGUGGUACGCGAGCUGGGUUUAGAACGUCGUGAGACAGUUCGGUCCCUAUCUGCCGUGGGCGCUGGAGAACUGAGGGGGGCUGCUCCUAGUACGAGAGGACCGGAGUGGACGCAUCACUGGUGUUCGGGUUGUCAUGCCAAUGGCACUGCCCGGUAGCUAAAUGCGGAAGAGAUAAGUGCUGAAAGCAUCUAAGCACGAAACUUGCCCCGAGAUGAGUUCUCCCUGAGACUUUAGGUCUCCUGAAGGAACGUUGAAGACGACGACGUUGAUAGGCCGGGUGUGUAAGCGCAGCGAUGCGUUGAGCUAACCGGUACUAAUGAACCGUGAGGCUUAACCUUACA